UACUGUAUGAACACAACUUGGAAUAGCAGGGAGAAGAGGUUCUAGGAAUGAAAAACUGCCUUUUCCUCCUUGGCAAACAGCUUAAAAUAGUAAACAAAUGACAGCCGAGGAGGAAGAGGAAGCUAAGGGGAGAUGUGAUACAGCAUAUUUCAGUCUUUCCGAUGCAUAUGGCACGUUGUCCACAUGGCCUGCCUGUGUGUGUGUGAGAGAGCCUCCGCUAUAGGUUUGCAACACUCCGAGCUCCGUGACUGUUUUCAUCAAAGGAACACUGGCCUCCUUUGGAGACUCGCCCUUCCGUGGGAAGAAUCACGUUUGCAUCUCACCUCUGAUGACCUGAGCGGGAAGGCAGAAACAGGCUCAGCAUGGCUGGACUUUGGCCAAAACACACUAAAUGGACCUUCGUUAAAGAACAGCCUAACCACUACAACAGAUGGUGCAAUGGAAAACAUACCACGAGCUCCACGAUUUGUGAUAUUUUUGCAGUCUGUACUUUUAGUGAAAGGAAAAAAGAUGUAUGAAUAUGUAUGUAUACUAUUACUCGUAGUUUGUAACUUGGGCAAUGUACAGCACAGAAGUAGGGAGGGAUAUUGGGAAGACUGGCCUCCUCUCUUUCUGAACGCAAAUGCAUGGCACUUUGGGAUAAUUGGAACUAUACAGAGACAGUCUAGAUAAGGGGCUUAUAGGAGUGAAUAGGUUGAAUCAAAAAGGCUGCCUGAAUGACUUGCCUCUGACUCUGUCUUGAUUGACACUCUAAAUACAGUCAUGACGGGGGAGCUGGAGCUCCAGCUUAGGGAAAGCUUCUGCCUGGGGUUUUCCUGCUCCCUUGUUUUUAAUUAGUCACACUGAAACCUGUAACUGGAGCUGAGGCUUAAACAAAUUUAAUUGCUACAUAAUAGCUAGUUUAAUACAAUUGUGGAGCAAUUAGGAUGGAUAUUUGUUGCCGGCUGGCAUAAUAACGCUUGCGGUGUCUUGCUCUCUCUCCCUCCCCUCCUUGCAGUAUUGAAGUGUUUUCUGCCAGGGGAUUUCUCUAUGGGCACCGGGCACAGAUGUGCUCCUGAGUACAGCAUAUGGGGCUCUAGCUCCAUCAAAAAACAUUGCUCCAGAGUAGCAUUUACUCCAUCAUUCCCCAGUCCUGCUCAAAUAUCCCAAUUAGAAUUAAUUACUAUAUCUAUCUCCAGGCUGUGGUUUGAUUUCCUCAUAUACCCAAGAUGAGCUUGGGAUGCCAUGUGUGAUUUGUUAUGGACAGUUGGGGCAAAGGUUCCUGUGCUGAUUUGAGGAAUUCACGCUCUUGGCCAUGUCUAUUCAAGAUUUUGAUUGCAUAGCAUAGUUGCACCAAACUAUUGGCAGCACCAUCAGCUAUAUGACUGUCAUAGCUGUCAAAUGUCUCAUUACUCCAUGUCAAGUCAAAGGUGUAUUCAUAUUUAUGUCAUGAGGCUGCACUGUAUGGGAAAUGGUGGUACAACCCAUUAUUUAUUGAAGCGACUGUGACAGACAAUGUACCUGAGGAAGUCUGAAAAGUGAAAAAUAACAUUCCUCUCCCUUAAUAAGGCUGUCUUGUCAAACAUUUAUGGGACAGAAAGAAAACAAGGGCAGAGGUGUACGUUUAUUGACAUCAUGAUUGGGGAAGACUGUCACACAAUAUGGGUUAGGGAGAGUACCAAAGAAAAAUCCGGCAUUGUGUUUGGAGGAAGUGCUUAUCACUAAAUUGCCCCGAGGUCUUUUCAAAAGAGCAACAGGCUGUGUUUCAUAGUGUUUUGUGUGUGUGUGUGUGUGAUAUGUGUGUGUGUGAAACCUAUAACCCAUAUCCAUUACCAGGAAACUGCAAUACAAGAGUUUCACUCCAAUACCAGAUUUCCAUUAUUUGAAAAAAGAAAAAUAGACUCCUUGUCAUGCAAAAUGCCUGCAGGAAAAUGUUCAAAUACAAGUAUCACUCAAUUUGUGAACAAAUAUGCAUAUUCUUAUACAGAAAAUACAUAUGUCUGAUAUGGUCGAAGUACAAUAUGGAAGAUACAUACAUGUACAAGAUGGAUUUUUUUUUACAAAUAAUCCACAAUAUCAGCCAAUAUGAGAAUACAAUUUGGCACCAAAAUGCUCUCACAUGUAAAACUAGAAACAUAUAAUCCUACAGUAACUUGCAGACGUGGCACAGUAAUUAGAAUUUUAUCAGAUAUACUGAAUCUAUCAAAUAAAAUAUCUCUAGUGGGUAGUAAACAGGAAUGUCAGUGACAUGAGAAGCUUUUGUAAUUCUGAUAAAUAAUGCAGAGAGGUACAUGCCUAAGUCCAUCAUUAGCAAAAAUGUUGCUGCAAUUUAGCAAAUGAGGCAAACAGGAGAAUAAUACAUGUCCCUACUGGUGCUUCAAUUAUUGAUACAAACUCUAAUUACACAAUUAUAAGGCAAAUGGAGCUGGGUAUUUGAGGGGCACACGGUGGAGUGCUCUGAAAGCCAUAAUUGGGAUCUGAUGGUCAGGGGCCGCUCAUUAAUUGACCCCUGCUGCUCUGCGCUGAACAGAACCGUCAAUAGAGGGCUGUUAACUAUGCAACAUUCACAUGCACGAAAGCACUGUAAAUGAAGAUGGCAGCAGCCACUCUGCUGGAGCUGUUGUCAGCUGUAGCUGGGGUGGGAUGAUGGGGACGGGCUGGUAACACACUUUUCCAAACCCCCUACCCAGCAACAACAUCACCAAACAAUGAGAGGAGACGGCUUACACCCAGCAAGACUCUUUGAAACUAAAGAUUCCAACAGAGAAUGGCGUGUCUGUGCCAGCAAUGAGAUGGAGUGCCCACUGAGCCCUGGGGGCUUUGGCCAGACAAACGCAGUGCCCAGAGGUGGCAUCCAUUUACUGGUUAGUGGACAUUUGGGAAGCACAGCAGAGCUGUGUUGUAUCUCUUUUACUGAGGGAAAGAAGUUGUGGCACCUACAAGAGCAAAGACAGAUGAUGGAAAACAAAUUACUGGACACUUCAAGAAUUAUCUUAACUUCAGGCAACAUCUAAAUCUCAGCCUGAUUUGUUACACCACAUGUGGGCAUAAAGGGACAGGGAAAAUAGAUGUGGACGUAGUUCAUGCUAGCAGAGUUUGAUGUUCCAGUCAGGAACUGGCCCAGUGACCAGGCACCCGUCCAGUAAGCUGUCCAGCCACCCCAUCAACCAGACAAAUGAACAAAGUGUUUGUGAAAAGACAUCAGCAGGGGACACCCUGCACCUGGGGCUGAGUAAACUUUUUUCAUGCUUUUCAACAACUCACCCUUUUUCUUUCUGCUCCCUUUUUUAUCACCAGGGGGUAUAACACACUUUGAAAAGAAACAUUUCCUACCGCUUGCCUUAAGACAACCCUUUGUUUUUUUCUUGCCACCUCCUGUUGGCAGAACGCUGUUUAAUAGUCCGCUGAUAAUGUUCCUUUUCUGCUCAUAAGUCCACAUCCAUUUCUGCAGGGGGCCUAAAGCUGAAGGCGGGAGGAGUUUGUUGAUAGGGAACAUAAAUCAUAAAUAUGCUACUUUACUUUCCAGAUGGUAGCCAUAAUGGAUAUAUACAGUGUAACAUAUAUUUAGACAUACAGUGAUUGACCAGCAGGCAUGAGAGAGCAGAGGUCAGAAUGUUUAUGUCCCUCAUGAUUAUAAGUCAUUGCAGUUCAAGACAAUGAGGAACAUUUGCAAAUGAUGCACAGGGGAAUGACUCCAUCCUGUAAAAACACUGAACCCACAGGGAUAUGUGGAUUAACUGUUUGACCCCCUCAACUUCAGUGACUGAGCACACCGGUAACUUUCCUUAUGUGUGAGCCUGUACCAUUUUCUCUGUUGCAUCAUGCUUGCAUCAUUACUUAGCCAGCAACUGCACAUCCCUACUCACCUUAAAGUGCCUCAAAAGUAACUUUAAAUUGGAAGAUAUAUUUAAAUUUUCAGAAAAUAACAUUAUUUUUUUUCUCUGAACAUUCCUGCUCAGGGAUGUCCUGAGAGUCAUCAUGCAAGAUCAGGACUGUGUGCUCUACAUUUCCAUUGUAGGCAAGCGCCACAAUAUACUAGUAUGAAAUUAAAAGACAAGGUUUAGAUUAGCUCAGAUCCUAUUUAGCCUCAGAAUAAAGUGUUUAGAAAAGUUAGUUAAUUUCAUGAUGGAGCACAACAGAACUGAUUAUUUUAGGUGGUAGUUCAAAACCUUAGGAAAUAGGUUUAUUUACUUUCUUGCUAUGACUUAGAUGAGAAGAUGGAUAGCACCUUUAUAUCUGUGCAGUAAAUACAAGGCUAAAGCUCAGCCAGUUAGAUAAGUUUUGCAUUAAGACUGAAAACAUCUGUCUGGUUAGUAUAAAAAAGAAGUGUAAAAACAAUGUGUGGUUUUAUUUGUGGUUCAACAAGUUAAGUAGAGAGCAUUAGAAGUUCUCAAAGGUGUAUUUUCUUACCUUCAGACAGAGCCAGGCUAACUGUUUCCCUCUGCUUUAAUCUAGGCUUUGUUAACUGGUUGCUGGUUGUAGCAUUGAGGUGUGCUAAGGUAGAAAUUUUUGCUUUCAGUAAUUUAUAUAUGUUUUAUUGCUGGCCAGUUUGUAGAAGCCAUGCUAAUCUGCACUGAACAGCUAAUGUAUCAGCUGUAUUGACAUUAUGUGUGAACUAGCCAGAAACAGAUGAAUCAACAUGCAGGAUUCAGAACUCAUUGGAAACCCCAGCUCUCUUUCUGUUUCUUCCCUUCAGUCUCUCUCAGUUUUCCUGUAGUCUCUGUAGCACAAAAUUUUGCUCAAGUUGAAACAUGUAUAACUUGCAUGUUCCCAUCUUCACUAAUUCAUCUCUAAUUGUAUCUUGUUCCCUCUAAAUACACUAUUACAUUUACCAGACAGUUCUAUCAAUCUCCUCAUCAAUCUCACACCCUCACACUUCCUGAACAGUUCUCACACCAAAACCAGAUGAACUGGCAAUUGUAUUACGGUUGGUUAUCUACCGUGUUGAUAGACAGCUGCUCAAGCUCACAGCCGGCGAGGACUAGCCAAGUUUCUGCAUGACUUAUAAAAACCCAUACGGCAUUCAAGCAAACCAGUCACACUCUCACCUAACCUGGCUGAAGGAAAAGGACUGUGACAGAUAUCGAUUAUGGAUUAAUUGAUUAAAAAAACCCAGGGCUUACAAAGUAACAUUAUAUAAUAUUUGUAUCAAUAGGUUCUCUGCAAGGUACAGAGUAAGUUUAAAAUUACUUUAGAUCUGUAAACAGCUAGCUUGUUUACAUUAGCUGUCUAACAUCAAGUGCACAGCAGAGAGAAGAAUGAAAACAACAUGUUGCAAUGGUACUCAGUUUUUCUAUGCAACUUAGCUAAUUACUGGAAUGUUUUCAAGAAUGACUAAUAAACUUUGUCAUUCCAGAUGACAAGUUUAUUGAGAUACUUUAAGAAGGCAAAAGGGAAAGAAAGAGAUGAGGACCAGCAUUAGCAAUCAGUUCAGAGGAAGACAGGGACAGAGGCAGCAGGAAUGAGAAUGAUGGAAAAUGGAAAAGAUGAAAGACAAGUGCAGUGUUCAGAAAUGAGACUAUCACAGGUAACUUGACUCCUCAUAAUACCAUCCACCAAGAGUUAAGUAGCCAAAAUUGCCAGUCAGCUGUUUUUUACUGUAACUUUUGCCAGCAAAGAUUGCUGUUAAUCACACGUCCAUCCAUGUUUUGAUUCCAAGCUUGCAAUUUGUUAUGAUUUGUAUGUAAUAUGUUAAGUCAAUGUCUACACUCGUGUUCAAUUAGCUAAUUAAAUAUCUAUAUCUUCUCCCCAUA